GAGUGGGGUGUUGUGUCGUCACUGUCUGGUCGUGGAGCCAAGAUUUCUGUUUGGGAUCCUCCACAGCAGUCUUUGGGCUCAGGCUCCUGCUGCUCCACCCUGGGGCGCCACUCCUGACGAUCUCCCUCACUGACGUCUGCGCCGGAACACAAGUAGAGGUCAGGCUUUGCUCAGUCAAAUCGUGAAGGGUUUUUUUUUUGUUUUUUUUUAAUAAAGAGCCAUUCUGAAAGAGAA